GUAGACCCGAAACCAGGUGAUCUACCCAUGUCCAGGAUGAAGGUAAGGUAAUACUUACUGGAGGUCCGAACCCACGCACGUUGAAAAGUGCGGGGAUGAGGUGUGGGUAGCGGAGAAAUUCCAAUCGAACUUGGAGAUAGCUGGUUCUCUCCGAAAUAGCUUUAGGGCUAGCCUCGAGGUAAAGAGUCAUGGAGGUAGAGCACUGUUUGGACUAGGGGCCCUUCUCGGGUUACCGAAGGGCCACAGACACUGCG
rnacentral:rRNA from 1 species